rnacentral:rRNA from 1 species
GAUGAACGCUGGCGGCGUGCUUAACACAUGCAAGUCGAACGGAAAGGCCCAAGCUUGCUUGGGUACUCGAGUGGCGAACGGGUGAGUAACACGUGGGUGAUCUGCCCUGCACUUCGGGAUAAGCCUGGGAAACUGGGUCUAAUACCGGAUAGGACCACAUUUUGGAUGGUGUGGUGGAAAGUUUUUCGGUGUGGGAUGAGCUCGCGGCCUAUCAGCUUGUUGGUGGGGUAAUGGCCUACCAAGGCGUCGACGGGUAGCCGGCCUGAGAGGGUGUACGGCCACAUUGGGACUGAGAUACGGCCCAGACUCCUACGGGAGGCAGCAGUGGGGAAUAUUGCACAAUGGGCGCAAGCCUGAUGCAGCGACGCCGCGUGGGGGAUGACGGCCUCCGGGUUGUAAACUCCUUUCGCUAGGGACGAAGCGUUAUGUGACGGUACCUGGAGAAGAAGCACCGGCUAACUACGUG